UAGAGUUUGAUCCUGGCUCAGAAUGAACGCUGGCGGCGUGCUUAACACAUGCAAGUCGCACGAGAACUCUUUAGCUUGCUAAAGAUAGUAAAGUGGCGCACGGGUGAGUGACGCGUGGGUAAUCUACCUCUGAAUCGGGGAUAACACCGCGAAAGCGAUGCUAAUACCGGAUAAUAUCUUUUAAGCUUCGGCUUACCAGAUCAAAGGUGGCCUCUACAUGAAAGCUACUGUUUGGAGAUGGGCCCGCGUACCAUUAGCUUGUUGGUGGGGUAAUGGCCCACCAAGGCAUCGAUGGUUAGCUGGUCUGAGAGGAUGAUCAGCCACACUGGAACUGACACACGGUCCAGACUCCUACGGGAGGCAGCAGUGAGGAAUUUUGCGCAAUGGGGGAAACCCUGACGCAGCAACGCCGCGUGAGUGAUGAAGGCCCUCGGGUCGUAAAACUCUGUCAAGUGGGAAGAACCUGCUUUAUGUUAAUACCAUAUUGCACUGACGGUACCACUGAAGGAAGCACCGGCUAACUCCGUGCCAGCAGCCGCGGUAAUACGGAGGGUGCAAGCGUUAUUCGGAAUUAUUGGGCGUAAAGAGCGCGUAGGCGGUCUUUUAAGUCAGAUGUGAAAGCCCGAGGCUUAACCUCGGAAGUGCAUUUGAAACUAAGGGACUUGAGUAUGGGAGAGGGAAGUGGAAUUCCUGGUGUAGAGGUGAAAUUCGUAGAUAUCAGGAGGAACACCGGUGGCGAAGGCGACUUCCUGGACCAAUACUGACGCUGAGGCGCGAAGGCGUGGGGAGCAAACAGGAUUAGAUACCCUGGUAGUCCACGCAGUAAACGGUGAACACUAGGUAUAGCGGGUAUUGACCCCUGCUGUGCCGUAGUUAACGCAUUAAGUGUUCCGCCUGGGGAGUACGACCGCAAGGUUAAAACUCAAAGGAAUUGACGGG
rnacentral:rRNA from 1 species